UACGGAGGAUGCAAGCGUUAUCCGGAUUUAUUGGGCGUAAAGCGUCCGCAGGUGGUUGUUCAAGUCUGCUGUUAAAGCGCGAGGCUUAACCUCGUACAGGCAGUGGAAACUGAGCGACUUGAAUAUGGUAGGGGUAGCGGGUAUUCCCAGUGUAGCGGUGAAAUGCGUAGAUAUUGGGAAGAACACCAGCGGCGAAAGCGCGCUACUGGGCCAUAACUGACACUCAUGGACGAAAGCUAGGGGAGCGAAAGGG
rnacentral:rRNA from 1 species